AACGCACCUUGCGCUCCUUGGUAUUCCGAGGAGCAUGCCUGUUUGAGUGUCAUAAAACUCUCAACUCCUAAUGGUUUUUAUUAAUUGUUAGUGAUGUUGGAUUUGAAUGUUGCUGGCUUUUAUUAGUCGGCUCGUUCGAAAAGUGUUAGCUGGAUCCCUUUUCUUCUUGGUUCCACUCGGCGUGAUAAGUAUCUUCGUCGAGGACAAUUGACUUCGGUUAGUUGGCCGGGAUAAAUUGGUUGAACUGCUUCUAAUUCUUAGACCUAAAAAAUCUAAACUUUUAUGCUCUGGCCUCAAAUCAGGUAGGAUUACCCGCUGAACUUAA
rnacentral:misc_RNA from 1 species